CAUGUACAACAGCUAUUUUGAUGUAGUUCUCUCUUACAUAAAAUCAUCCUCCCUCAUCUCUUUCAUUGAAUUCCUGAGUAAAUGCUAUCAGCUUCUCAAAAUUCAGCGAGUUAUCAAUGAGGUCUUGUCCAUCACUGCACAGGAAAUUGCAUUUCUGGCUUCGGUAUUUGAUGAAAACGUUUCUGUCUUCGGUGUGCAAAUGGAGAUGCUGCUGUUGGAGUUUAGCCCACGGGAGUGUCAUACAGCUGCAAAGGAGAGGAUGGACUCAAAGCAUCACUGCGCAGUGCGACUGCUGAGCCCGUGGGGUGAAAGCAUGCUGGAUUGGAGAUGCUGGAAGAAAGCACAAGCAGUCCUUCAAGAUGAGGUAGGAGGGAUGGCAGUAACAGAAGAGCACAGCUGAAUCUCAAGAUCUCAAGCAAAGACAGCAGGAGUCUGAGCAUUUAAAUAUGCCUUCGCCAUGCUGGAGCAUUCCAAGCAGUGUGUUCUUCAAGUUUGGAAAGGCCAUGUAAGAUUUCAGUGCAUCGGCUCAGCCUGGAGGACAAGAGGACACAGACCUCAGAGCAAGGAGGGCCCUUACCCAUCAGUGACUGCUCCAUGGAUGGUGGCACGGAGCGCAGUGGAGACAACAUCUACAACUGGAAGAGCUCACAGCGCCACUGUGUUAAAGAACAAAGAGAGCCAUGAGUGUUCCCAGGCAGCAGCCGGAGCGCAGGUAAGUGUGGAGCAGCCAGCAGGGAUGCAAGCAUGCUCAGCAAAAGAGGACAAGCCUGAAAGUAAGUCUGAAAUCCUUUGGGAAUUUUCCUCACCUCUUCAGAAAUAUGAUCAACGUUUGCCACUCUUCUGAGGCUCUAGUUCAACAUUAUUACUGCACAUCACUCACCUGUACAAGGACAAAUGGG
ensembl:lncRNA